rnacentral:rRNA from 1 species
UACGUAGGGGGCAAGCGUUGUCCGGAAUCAUUGGGCGUAAAGCGCGCGUAGGCGGCCCGGUAAGUCCGCUGUAAAAGUCCAGGGCUCAACCCUGGAAAGCCGGUGGAUACUGUCGGGCUAGAGUCCGGAAGAGGCGAGUGGAACUCCUGGUGUAGCGGUGGAAUGCGCAGAUAUCAGGAAGAACACCAACGGCGAAGGCAGCUCGCUAGGACGGUACUGACGCUGAGACGCGAAAGCGUGGGGAGCGAACAUG